UCCUACGGGGGGCAGCAGUAAGGAAUAUUGGUCAAUGGGCGCAAGCCUGAACCAGCCACGCCGCGUGCAGGAAGACGGCCCUACGGGUUGUAAACUGCUUUUGUUUGGGAAGAAACCCUCCUUUGCGAAGGAGACUGACGGUACCAGACGAAUAAGCACCGGCUAACUCCGUGCCAGCAGCCGCGGUAAUACGGAGGGUGCAAGCGUUAUCCGGAUUUAUUGGGUUUAAAGGGUGCGUAGGCGGCCUGUUAAGUCAGUGGUGAAAGUCGGCAGCUCAACUGUCGAAUUGCCUUUGAUACUGGCAGGCUUGAAUGAAGUUGAAGAGGGCGGAAUGUGACAUGUAGCGGUGAAAUGCAUAGAUAUGUCACAGAACACCGAUUGCGAAGGCAGCUCUCUAAGCUUGUAUUGACGCUGAUGCACGAAAGCGUGGGGAUCAAACAGGAUUAGAUACCCUGGUAGUCU
rnacentral:rRNA from 1 species